AGAGUUUGAUCAUGGCUCAGGAUGAACGCUAGCGGCAGGCUUAACACAUGCAAGUCGAGGGGCAGCAGGCGGUAGCAAUACUGUGCUGGCGACCGGCGCACGGGUGCGUAACGCGUAUGCAACCUACCCACUACAGGGGGAUAACGGAGGGAAACUUCCACUAAUAUCCCAUGGUGUUGUUUUCCCGCAUGGGGAGACAACUAAAGCUUCGGUGGUAGUGGAUGGGCAUGCGUGACAUUAGGUAGUUGGCGGGGCAACGGCCCACCAAGCCGACGAUGUCUAGGGGAGCUGAGAGGCUUAUCCCCCACACUGGUACUGAGACACGGACCAGACUCCUACGGGAGGCAGCAGUGAGGAAUAUUGGUCAAUGGACGGAAGUCUGAACCAGCCAUGCCGCGUGGAGGAAGAAGGUCCUAUGGGUUGUAAACUCCUUUUGUUCCGGAGUAAUAAGGUCUUUGCGAAGACCGAUGAGAGUACGGGACGAAUAAGCAUCGGCUAACUCCGUGCCAGCAGCCGCGGUAAUACGGAGGAUGCAAGCGUUAUCCGGAUUUAUUGGGUUUAAAGGGUGCGCAGGCGGACAGUUAAGUCAGCGGUGAAAUCUCACGGCUCAACCGUGGAACUGCCGUUGAUACUGGCUGUCUAGAGUACGGACGGCGCCGGCGGAAUGUGUCAUGUAGCGGUGAAAUGCUUAGAUAUGCCACAGAACACCGAUCGCGAAGGCAGCUGGCGAGGCCGAGUACUGACGCUCAGRCACGAAAGCGURGRGAUCAAACAGGAUUAGAUACCCURSUAGUCCACGCAGUAAACGAUGARGACUUGUUGUCGGCGAUAGAAUGUCAGUGACAAAGCGAAAGCGAUAAGUCCUCCACCUGGGGAGUACGAUCGCAAGGUUGAAACUCAAAGGAAUUGACGGGGGCCCGCACAAGCAGUGGAUUAUGUGGUUUAAUUCGAAGCAACGCGAAGAACCUUACCAGGUCUUGACAUCUCCUGCAUAGCCUAGAGAUAGGUGAAGUCCUUCGGGACAGGAUGACAGGUGGUGCAUGGUUGUCGUCAGCUCGUGUCGUGAGAUGUUGAGUUAAGUCCCGCAACGAGCGCAACCCUUGCCAUUAGUUGCUACGCGAGAGCACUCUAAUGGGACCGCUACCGACAAGGUGGAGGAAGGUGGGGAUGACGUCAAAUCAUCAUGCCCCUUAUGACCUGGGCUACACACGUAAUACAAUGGCCAUCAACAGAGGGUCGCAAUACCGCGAGGUGGAGCCAAUCCCUAAAAAUGGUCUCAGUUCGGAUCGCAGGCUGCAACCCGCCUGCGUGAAGCUGGAAUUGCUAGUAAUCGCGGAUCAGCAUGCCGCGGUGAAUACGUUCCCGGGCCUUGUACACACCGCCCGUCACACCAUGGGAGUUUGUAACACCCGAAGUCUGUAGUCUAACCCUUGUGGAGGACGCAGCCGAAGGUGGGAUAAGCGACUGGGGUGAAGUCGUAACAAGGUAACCGUA
rnacentral:rRNA from 1 species